rnacentral:lncRNA from 1 species
UAAGCUGGUUGUGGUCUGACCUACAACUGCGCCUUUUCUUUGCAGGCACAGUACAGCCUGUCCCGUGCCCAGGCAUCCUUUAAGUCGCUGGUUCAGAUCCACGAGAAAAACGGCUGGUUCACUCCUCCGAAGGAAGACGGAUGAGUGCAUUGGAGCUGCCGGAUGUACAUAAAGAAGUAAUGGCGUCUCCAUGGUCGCUGUUCCUUUCUUUCCCCCCCUUGUCAGUCUCAUUAUUUGGAUGUGUAAAAGAGGGUGAACAGAAGAGCCUGUCCACAACUUCUGGGUCGUAAAGAUAGUGCCCGCUUCGUACAAUCGGGACAGAAGCACACAUUGCGACCAAGACUGCCGCAAGCCCUCCUUUGUUUUAAAUUGUUUUGUGUAGAGUUGAUGAAAGUUCCUGUUUGUUGCACACACACAUACACGAGAGACACACACAGUUGCAUCGCUCCCCUUCCUGUGCCCAUCCCAGGGACUGCUUUGUCACACGCCCCACACUACCCAAUGGACUUCUUCCCCUGCCGAAUGUAAUGUUCUUUAUUCAUUGGUUUUCCUUUGCAGUUUCUUUUUUUUUUUUAGUGUGAUAAUAAAAUGAAAAAGAGAAGGGAGAACCAAACUCC